GAUGAACGCUGGCGGCGUGCCUAAUACAUGCAAGUCGAGCGAACAGACGCGGAGCUUGCUCCUCUGACGUUAGCGGCGGACGGGUGAGUAACACGUGGAUACCCUACCUAUCAGACUGGGAUAACUUCGGGAAUCCGGAUCUAAUACCGGAUAAUAUACUGCACCGCAUUGUUCAAUAGUGAAAGACGGUUUUGCUGUCACUUAUAGAUGGAUCCGCGCCGCAUUAGCUAGUUGGUAAGGUAACGGCUUACCAAGGCAACGAUGCGUAGCCGACCUGAGAGGGUGAUCGGCCACACUGGAACUGAGACACGGUCCAGACUCCUACGGGAGGCAGCAGUAGGGAAUCUUCCGCAAUGGUCGAAAGCCUGACGGAGCAACGCCGCGUGAGUGACGAAGGUCUUCGGAUCGUAAAACUCUGUUAUUAGGGAAGAACAAAUGUGUAAGUAACUAUGCACGUCUUGACGGUACCUAAUCAGAAAGCCACGGCUAACUACGUG
rnacentral:rRNA from 1 species